UGUGGCGUUGGCAAGGCCUGAGAAGGGAACAUGGGCGGCUUCCGACGGGGGUCUGCUCUGUGCUGCAAGCCGGGGACUCCCCCUUGCCGUCAUCUGCGGGUGGGAAAGAAGUGGCUAGGCCACGGCUCUGAGGCAGGCUCCGCCGGAGGAACUGUCCCCUUUAGGGACUGCGACCCCUUUCCUGUUAGGGAACCGCUCUGGGGCGAGGAGGCCGCCUUUAAGACCCUCUGAGCUGCAGUUUCCUCUUGGAUUCACUUGAUUUCUGUCUGGGAUGUCUCAUUAAAAGUAUCAUCAGAUCAAGUGAGCACUUGUUACGAAUUCAUUGUGAGAGGAGACAGGAGUUUGCAAUCUAACUUUCUGUUCUUGUAACCUUUGAGACAGAGAAAUGCAAGCAAUUGCACAGGAUGUUCAACAGCAACAACCAAAAUUUGACAAGUUUAUAUCUAGUAUUUUCUAUCUGCAAGUCUGUAUAUUAUAGCUGCAUAUAAUUGCCAUAUUAUUGUUAUGAACAUGGCGGAUGCCAGCCCCAGCUGGUGGACAUGAAGCUUUUGUUACAAACUAUUCUUAGUGUAUAAUAUAAUAGUUAACCCCUAUUGUGUAUGUGUAAGUGUUAACACCUGUUGUCAAAUAGUACUAGAAAUAAGAAAACCAGUUCAUGUUUGCAUAUUGUGGACCUCGGCUUUAGACAGCUGGGGAGACAUCAGAUGAUCUUACCUGUUUCACCUGUAGCCAAAAGGAGAUUUGGAGGUUCUCCCCUCUUAUCUAUGAAAGCCCCUGCAGAGAGGAAGCUCAGAAAGGAGAUAAGAGAUCACAACAAGAGGCUGCCAAAUGCCUUUGUGGGUCCAGGGUAAACCAAACCCCUGACCCCAAGGAUGGAAGGAGACACUCAAUCUGAGCUAGACAGAAGGACCAUGAUGGAAUGAGCCCUUCUGGAUAUCAAGAAAAUUGUGGAAGGGGCAAUGAAACUCCUUGGACUGCCAUGUUUAAGAGUUCAAUAAACUUGUUUGAGCAUCAUUAUGAUGCAAGAGGCAUCACUUAUGGAUCUUGGAUCACUCUCUAAUCCCUUCCCCCAGGGGAGAAGUGCCAUACAUGUAUCUUUUAAGUUCUCCAUGCUUUGUUGUAAUU